GAAUUGAAGCCCCGGUGAACGGCGGCCGUAACUAUAACGGUCCUAAGGUAGCGAAAUUCCUUGUCGGGUAAGUUCCGACCCGCACGAAAGGUGUAACGAGUGGAGCACUGUCUCAACGAGGGACUCGGCGAAAUUGAAGUACGUGUAAAGAUGCGCGUUACCCGCAGCAGGACAAAAAGACCCCGUGGAGCUUUACUGUAGUCUGCCAUUGCGUUAGGACGUUAUUUGUGUAGGGUAGCUGGGAGUCGGAGAAGCAUGUUCGCCAGAAUGUGUGGAGACGAUGAUGAAACACCAGCCUGAUAAUGUUUUGGCCCUAACCGUUGACGAAGAACGGGACAGUGGCAGAUGGGCAGUUUGACUGGGGCGGUCGCCUCCUAAAGAGUAGCGGAGGCGUCCAAAGGUUGGCUCAGGCGGAAUGGAAACCCGCUAAAGAGUAUAAUGGCAAAAGCCAGCUUGACUGCAAGACCAACAAGUCGAGCAGAGACGAAAGUCGGGCAUAGUGAUCCUACGGUACAGAGUGGAAUGGCCGUAGCUUACCGGAUAAAAGCUACCCCGGGGAUAACAGGCUAGUCUUGUCCAAGAGCUCAUAUCGACGACAAGGCUCGGCACCUCGAUGUCGGCUCAUCGCAUCCUGGGGCUGAAUAAGGUCCCAAGGGUUGGGCUGUUCGCCCAUUAAAGCGGUACGUGAGCUGGGUUCAGACCGUCGUGAGACAGGUCGGUCUCUAUCCGCUGUGGGCGAUGGGAAUUUGAGAGGAGCUGUCCCUAGUACGAGAGGACCGGGAUGGACGAAGCGCUGGUGUGUCGGUUGUUGUGCCAACAGCAUAGCCGAGUAGCCAACUUCGGAGGAGAUAACCGCUGAAAGCAUCUAAGUGGGAAGCGGACCUCAAGAUGAGAUUCCCCAUCUCAAUAAGAGAGUAAGACCGCUGGAAGACGACCAGCUCGAUAGGCGGGACGUGGAGGGUCAGUGAUGGCUAGAGCGAACCCGUACUAAUGGUCGAGGGCUACU
rnacentral:rRNA from 1 species